rnacentral:misc_RNA from 1 species
AAGUCGUAACAAGGUUUCCGUAGGUGAACCUGCGGAAGGAUCAUUAACGCAUCUAAAAGGCGCGAGUCGCACGUCGGCCCCGCUCCGACCGCGAGGUCGUGCAGCGGGUCGGCGACGCCUCCGUCGAACCCUUCACAAACCCAACCGUGCACCUUUUGCGGUGGAGGGCGGCCGGGCGAGAGCUCGACGUCCGAAACCGCUUCAAAAACACAACGUCUAAAGAAUGUAUCAGCGACCUCCGAGUCGUCUAACGAACGUAACAACUUUCAACAACGGAUCUCUUGGCUCUC